AGAGCGAACGCUGGCGGCAUGCUUAACACAUGCAAGUCUCACGGGCAGCAAUGUCAGUGGCGGACGGGUGAGUAACGCGUAGGUAUCUAUCCUUGGGUGGGGGAUAACGUUGGGAAACUGACGCUAAUACCGCAUGACACCUGUGGGUCAAAGGCGCGAGUCGCCUGGGGAGGAGCCUGCGUACGAUUAGCUUGUUGGUGGGGUAAAGGCCUACCAAGGCUACGAUCGUUAGCUGGUCUGAGAGGAUGAUCAGCCACACUGGGACUGAGACACGGCCCAGACUCCUACGGGAGGCAGCAGUGGGGAAUAUUGGACAAUGGGCGAAAGCCUGAUCCAGCAAUGCCGCGUGUGUGAAGAAGGUCUUCGGAUUGUAAAGCACUUUCGGCGGGGACGAUGAUGACGGUACCCGCAGAAGAAGCCCCGGCUAACUUCGUGCCAGCAGCCGC
rnacentral:rRNA from 1 species